GAGGGUAUAGCUCAGUGGUAGAGUGCAUGUCUGGAAUGCACGAAGUCCUGGGUUCAAUUCCUGGUACCCCCC
rnacentral:tRNA from 1 species